rnacentral:rRNA from 1 species
UACGUAGGUGGCGAGCGUUGUCCGGAUUUACUGGGCGUAAAGGGCGUGCAGGCGGUUUGUUAAGUGCAGGGUGAAAGCUCCCGGCUCAACUGGGAGAGGUCCUUGCAUACUGGCGAACUCGAGGGAGGCAGAGGAAAGUGGAAUUCCCGGUGUAGUGGUGAUAUGCGUAGAUAUCGGGAGGAACACCUGUGGCGAAGGCGGCUUUCUGGGCCUUACCUGACGCUGAGGUGCGAAAGCGUGGGGAGCAAACAGG